rnacentral:rRNA from 1 species
UAACGAAUCUUCCGCAAUGCACGCAAGUGUGACGGAGCGAGUCCGCGUGUGGGAUGAAGUCCUUCGGGAUGUAAACCACUGUCAGGGGUUAGAUGAUAACCCCAGCGGAAGGGGCGACUAACUCUGUGCCAGCAGUCGCGGUAAUACAGAGGCCCCAAGCGUUAGGCGGAAUCACUGGGCUUAAAGCGUGUGUAGGCGGCUCGGUAAGUAUCUUGUGAAAUCCCACGGCUCAACCGUGGAACUGCUGGAUAUACUGCCGGACUUGAACCACUUAGAGGCGGUGGAAACAGAUGGUGGAGCGGUGAAAUGCA